rnacentral:lncRNA from 1 species
CAACUCGGUGAACUCGUCCUGAGUCAAUCCGGGUGGGAUGGUUAGAUGGUGGGUUGAGUAGGUUUCUUCCUCCUUCGGGUUCUGGGUCUGCCAUUGAACUAAUAGUUGGUUGUGAGAGAGACUAGAGAGAUGUGACGCGGUGGGGGCGGUUAUAUAGUGUCAACAGAUGAGGGUAAAAGUAAAAGUAUCAUGAGGUUAAUUUUUCUGGUGAAAAAUUCCGUCUUCCCAGUUUCAUCCCCUAAUGGCUGCAAGGACAAUUUAGUUCGAUUGUGAAAAAUU